rnacentral:rRNA from 1 species
GACGAACGCUGGCGGCGUGCUUAACACAUGCAAGUCGAACGAUGAAGCCGGAGCUUGCUCUGGUGAAUUAGUGGCGAACGGGUGAGUAACACGUGAGUAACCUGCCCUUGACUCUGGGAUAACUGCGGGAAACUGUAGCUAAUACCGGAUACGACCCUCGGAGGCAUCUCCUGGGGGUGAAAAGAAUUUCGGUCAAGGAUGGACUCGCGGCCUAUCAGCUAGUUGGUGAGGUAAAGGCUCACCAAGGCGACGACGGGUAGCCGGCCUGAGAGGGUGACCGGCCACACGGGGACUGAGACACGGCCCAGACUCCUACGGGAGGCAGCAGUGGGGAAUAUUGCACAAUGGGCGCAAGCCUGAUGCAGCAACGCCGCGUGAGGGAUGACGGCCUUCGGGUUGUAAACCUCUUUUAGCAGGGAAGAAGCGAAAGUGACGGUACCUGCAGAAAAAGCACCGGCUAACUACGUGCCAGCAGCCGCAGUAA